CAAGUCGAACGAGAUCCAUGGUGUAGCAAUACACCGGAAGAUCUAGUGGCGAACGGGUGAGGAUCACGUGAGAAACCUGCCCCAGACUUUGGGAUAACAAGUGGAAACGCUUGCUAAUACCGAAUGACGUCGGAGAACCGCAUGGUUCACUGACGAAAGGAAUUCCGGUUUGGGAGGGUCUCGCGGCCUAUCAGCUAGUUGGUGGGGUAAUGGCCUACCAAGGCAACGACGGGUAGCUGGUCUGAGAGGAUGAUCAGCCACACUGGGACUGAGACACGGCCCAGACUCCUACGGGAGGCAGCAGUGGGGAAUCUUGCGCAAUGGGCGAAAGCCUGACGCAGCAACGCCGCGUGCGGGAUGAAGGCCUUCGGGCUGUAAACCGCUUUCAGCAGGAACGAAAAUGACGGUACCUGCAGAAGAAGGAGCGGCCAACUACGUGCCAGCAGCCGCGGUGACACGUAGGCUCCAAGCGUUGUCCGGAUUUAUUGGGCGUAAAGAGCUCGUAGGCGGUUGAGUAAGUCGGGUGUGAAAACUCUGGGCUUAACCCGGAGACGCCAUCCGAUACUGCUCUGACUUGAGUUCAGGAGGGGAGUGGGGAAUUCCUAGUGUAGCGGUGAAAUGCGCAGAUAUUAGGAGGAACACCGGUGGCGAAGGCGCCACUCUGGACUGAAACUGACGCUGAGGAGCGAAAGCAUGGGUAGCAAACAGGAUUAGAUACCCUGGUAGUCCAUGCCGUAAACGGUGGGCACUAGGUGUGGGUUCCAACUAACGGGAUCCGCGCCGUCGCUAACGCAUUAAGUGCCCCGCCUGGGGAGUACGGUCGCAAGACUAAAACUCAAAGGAAUUGACGG
rnacentral:rRNA from 1 species